UUUAUCUCUAAAUGAAAUCUCCCUGUACGCUAAUACAGAGAAUGAGCAAAGUUCUUUUCCAACCUAACUGAUUCUCUAUGAUUCUAUGAUCCUAGAAGAUAUAUCUUUGGUAUCCUUUAUUAGAAAUUUGCCUUUGUUAAGUAACUGACUUGUAUUCGUUGGUUCUGACUCACUUGCAACAAAUUUCUUGGCAUAUAUUUUAUUUUUUCUCUCUUAAGAGUAUGAUUUCUUUCUUCAUAACUUUGAGGGUUUGACCCCAUGCGUUUCUCAGAACAAAUGUUCAAGGUAAGUUCUGUUGAUGAUUGCUGUCAUCCCAUGCAAAAUCCAGACUUAGUCACCACCUUCCUAAAUCUCUACAAGUGUACAGCAUCUGGAUUUCACCUGCCUGAUGCAAACACAAACAAAAUAAAAUACUGGAAUGCAUGUAUCCAUUGGAAAGAAGUUGCUCUGUUUCAUGUAGUUUGUGCCAAAUGAACACCAUGUUAUGGAUCACUGCAAAGCACAGCUGUGAAGCGGAGUUUUUGGGCUAUGGAAUCUCCUAUGCUGCAGGUAUGGAAUUGAUCCCGUUUUGAGAGAGGUGUAAGACUGGAUAGCCACUUGAGGUUUCUUCUCCUGCAUUGCUUUUAUUGAUUCUUCUACAGUCCAAUAAAAAUUGGUAUCAUAUAAACAUCUGUGAGAAGAGAAGCUAGAACAGCAGGGCAAGAAUGAUAAUCACAAUAAAGAUUGCUAAAGGAAUUAAGGUCUCCUACCAUAGCUCAACUGCCUGAGAAGAAAAUAAGUGACUAUGCUUUUUUGCUUUAGAGACAUAAGGAAAGAAACAAGAAAAAAUAUGGAAAAGAAAAAAAACCUGACUUAUCCAAGUAGCAUUAAUAAUCCAUUUUAUUUCACCAGACAGAUUCAAAUUUCUUUUAAAAGUAGUAUAUUUUUCCCAUGAAGAACAGUGGUGUAGAUAUGGUGAGAAUGUGCAUUGUGCUUGCUAUUCAAAAAGUGCCUUAAUAAAUUAAAUUUAUAAAUGAAAGAAAGAACCACUACAACGCCUCUCAGGUGGAUUCCCCAUAAAUCUUAGGCUGUCACAUAUGAGCCACAUGCUUACCCUCUGCAAGAGACCUCAGAAUAUUCAUGAAAGGUAUAGUAUUUUGAAUUAUUCAUCAAAACCUUUAACAUUUUACAUUUGGUGAAAGAAUGUUACUUGAACACUCUGUUCAUGACUUAUUUUUCAGGAAUUCCAAAACAUGAAAUAGUUUGAAGAACUUCAGAAAUGUGAACAUCCUAAUUGGCUGCAGGAUGUUUUAUUACAUUUGCACUGUUCAAGGCAAAUUUGGAGCAUGUGGUUUGCAGCUGCUGAACUGUGUUCAGAGUUCUGCAAGAUAUCACUUUGGAUUCCUACUUGUAUCAUUUAUGUGUUUAAAUCCAAAAGAAGGAGGAAAAGUGGCAAAGAGUGAAAAAUAAAGCCGCGGUGGGGAAAGAACAUGCCAUGGACGCCUUUUGCCAUCAAGCAUGAUCAUCCCAGGAAUUUAUCUAAGCCUUACAGACUGGAAAAUAGAGUGGUUACACAAAGGGUGUAUAAUUUUUUCAACUUUUCAGAAAAAAAUGAAGAUUCAGUUCAAUAAAAAUACUAAUAUUA